rnacentral:tRNA from 1 species
GCCUGCGUGGCUCAGUCAGUUAAGCGUCUGACUUCAGCUCAGGUCAUGAUCUCACAGCUCGUGGGUUUGAGCCCCACGUCAGGCU